rnacentral:lncRNA from 1 species
GCAAUAUCGAUAUGGAACAGCCUUUUGGCACCUUUCCCUGCCCCUGCCCCCCCCCCCCAGCCUUGAUCCCUUUUGCGGUAGUUCCUGCUGUUAAAAUGGGCUUUACAGAGCAAGAGGAGCCAACUUUAGGAGAAGGCAUAUUGUGAUACCCUCACUGAUUUCUUUUACAAUGCAUUCUGUUCAGGCCAGAAUCUGCUUAACUGUCCAGGUAAGCAAAUACACAUAGUCACAUUUUUUUUAAUAAGAAUGUUUUCCAGACAUUUGACAACUAAUUCUGAGAGAUUGGU